rnacentral:rRNA from 1 species
UAAGGAAUAUUGGGCAAUGGAGGCAACUCUGACCCAGCCAUCCCGCGUGAAGGAUUAAGGCCCUAUGGGUUGUAAACUUCUUUUGUUUGGGAAGAAAUCAGGACAUUUAUGUGCUGUUGACGGUACCUUACGAAUAAGCACCGGCUAACUCCGUGCCAGCAGCCGCGGUAAUACGGAGGGUGCAAGCGUUAUCCGGAAUCACUGGGUUUAAAGGGUGCGUAGGCGGUUUGAUAAGUCAGAGGUGAAAGCUAGCAGCUUAACUGUUAAAUUGCCUUUGAUACUGUCAGACUUGAAUCAAGUUGAGGUAGGCGGAAUGUGACAUGUAGCGGUGAAAUGCAUAGAUAUGUCAUAGAACACCAAUUGCGUAGGCAGCUUGCUGGGCUUGAAUUGACGCUGAGGCACGAAAGCGUGGGGAUCAAACA